UUCUUCUGAACCUCUUCAACACACCACCAGGGCCAGAAAACAUAGAGAAGUGUAAAGAGAAUACUCUCUGGGUGAACAGGUGGUUGCAUGCUUCCCAGAAAGGUGGUUCCAAAAUCAUGGAAGUGGGUCAACUCUCCCCGAGUCAGUGAACUUCUGCCAGCAUUUGGUUCAGUGAGCACGUAUGCUUCACAGGAAUAACCACAGUGAUGAAACUGAAGAAGUUGUUCUCCUGUUGGUGAAAGUCAAGGCUCUGCGUAUUGCUGAAGAGCUCACUGAAGAGUGCAAACGGGAACAUCUUAAAUCUGUGAUCAGGAAAUAAGGAUUUCUUUGAAGCAGCAGUUCUUUUACUGAAACAAGCCUGAUGCUCACUCUAAAAAAGUGGUAACGUUUAAUGAGUGGACUGCCUGCAGUUGUUUUACUGUGAAAUAUUUUUUUUUUUUUUUCCAAAUGUCUUCUGAUGCCAUCUACUCCUAGAUAGAAUCACAAUGGUCAGUGUGAAGUGCAGGUGUUCUGAAAUAUAUGACGAAGCCUCAUUGCUUUGUUCUUUUGGGAAGGAUGACUGCAGUAAGUGCCUGUAACGUUACCACUGCUGGUGAGCAGACAACUUCACAAGCUGUUUUCAGUACCACACCAAAUCACUCUGACUCAGGGAGUCACUGAACUCUAACUUAUUGUCCACUUAAUGAGAUAACUCUACCAAACUCACAGUGAGUUCUUCAUAGCUUUUUGAUCCCGACACAGAAGCAGGAAUUCUGUAGUGCAGUGAGAAGUCUGAUCUGUGAACAUCUACUGAUGGUAAACGGGUGUUCAGGAAGGUAAGAAGUUGCACAGGAGAACGUCUUAACUACGCUUACUCUUCUCCAGAGUAUGAUUUGUAGUGGAGCUUUGUACUUGAGAUACAGACUGGACUUUGUGCACAGACUUGGAGUUGUCACCCGCCCUCAUUUAUCAGACGAGCAGAACAACAACUCCAGUUACCUUCUAGUAAUUGGCUCUCUAAGGACAUUUACCUUUUGCUUCCCUGUAAGACCCAUUAAACCUCAUUUCACCGUACCCAUGUUGGAUUUCUAAUGUUGUGUAACUUCGUAUAUGUGCAGUAAAUAUUACUGCUGCAGAAUAAAAAGGAUGUUUUACUGUAGAAACAGCAGUGCGUCACAAAUUCUGCUAAGUUUGCUAUUGCCUGCUUCUCUAAAAUGUUAUGUAUGGGUCUUCCAUUUAACUCUUGGAGGCUUUUAUUCCCUAUGGUUUUUCUGUUGUUUUUUAUUACAGAAUAUGUAUUUUUGUAAACUGUUUUAAUUGUAAAUAGCAUUCAUCAGUGUUAUAGACAACAAUGACUUUUAAAAUAAAAGCAAAACCAUUCUUUUG
ensembl:lncRNA